AUCUCCAAUGAGCCUCAUGGCGUCAUAGUAUCCAAUCAUGUUUCAGGCUUUUUGCUGCUCAAUUUGGAGUUCCUCUUUGGGGAGCCAAUCUGUGGGACUGGGGGGUGUGGUCUAGCAGGAUUAAAAUAGACAAUUAGACUUAUUUUCUGAUCUGACAUUACAUGAAUCUGACAAAUUCUUGUACAAAAGUGGCUUAGUUUAUAUUGGAUGUUUAUAUCCUCCUGCUCAUACUGCCAUACCAGAUUCUCUAUGGCUCUUUUUUUGUGGAUAACAUUGCAGGUUCUGACCUGUGAUUCAUGCUUUCUUGAUUCGUCCCUGUUGCUGUGUUUCAUUGGUGGAGGGCUAUGGACUGAUGAGGAUUUGUGGAUGGGACACAUUUCUUCUUAACUCACCAAUUUAUUAUGAUGAUUUAACAGGGACUUUGUUCAGCUCUUCGGGCUGUUCAAGCUCAUCAGCUCAGUUUGUUUGUCUGUCCUUCGGUUUUACUCGGCAGGGUUACCAGCGUGCAGAGUUAACCAGGACAGCAGAAUCUGCUUAUCCAGCCACCACUCGGUCGUAAGAGAGGACUUAGGCAGCUCAUGUUGACCAAAAGAGGUCUGUCACUUUCACUGAGACCCAGCAGGAACCGGCUGGCAGAUCUCCCACUGCCACUCCCAGCCCCAGCAGUGGCCUUCCAGGGCUCACAGAGGUUGGGAAGCUGAGCCAUUCUGCAGGAGGACACUCUCCUUCUGCCGCAUCAGAGUCCUCAUCACCUAGCAUCAAAACUGCCCAGCACAAACCAGGAUGGCCACAGCUUCAGUCUGGGUCCAGCCCUUACAAAGACCUGAGAUGACCAAACACCGGAGAAGAGAUGAUGCCAUCCACUAAGAAGACCUCAGAUGAUGCCACCCUCAGACAACAUACAAAAUUU